UUGCAAAGUCCAAGUAUACUAUAUCCACAGCCUUCCUUUGUAUAAUGUAUUGCUCACUUCCUCAUAAGAAGAAAGUAGAUUUGUUUGGCAGCUUCUA